rnacentral:snoRNA from 1 species
AUCCUUGUCCUGCUCAUAAGCACGAGGAUCAGGUGUUCGCUGCCUUAUGUGGCAUGUGUCUCACUUAAAACUUGCUUACCACUUUACCCAUUUGGUA